AUGAUACAAUGAUGAGAGCAUAGUUCAGCAGAUUAAACCAUGAAGAUUAUGCUUGUCUUUCGCUCCUAGCUGAUGUGUCAA
ensembl:snoRNA